CCUGUGCCUGUGAUGGGUUUAAAUAUACUCUGAGACAAAUCUCUGUGAAAUUAAUCUAAAUCUGAGGCAGAGG